CCUACGAGAGGCAGCAGUGAGGAAUAUUGGUCAAUGGGCGCGAGCCUGAACCAGCCAAGUAGCGUGAAGGAUGACUGCCCUACGGGUUGUAAACUUCUUUUAUAAAGGCAUAAAGUGAGGCUCGUGUGCUUUUUUGUCUGUACUUUAUGAAUAAGGAUAGGCUAACUCCUUGCCAGCAGACGCGGUAAUACGGAGGAUCCGAGCGUUAUCCGGAUUUAUUGGGUUUAAAGGGAGCGUAGAUGGGUUGUUAAGUCAGUUGUGAAAGUCUGCGGCUCAACCGUAAAAUUGCAAUUGCAACUGGCAGUCUUGAGUACAGUUGAGGUAAGCGGAAUUCGUGGUGUAGCGGUGAAAUGCUUAGAUAUCACGAAGAACUCCGAUUGCGAAGGCAGCUUACUAAACUGCCACUGACAUUGAUGCUCGAAAGUGUGGGUAUCAAACAGGAUUAGAUACCCGAGUAGUC
rnacentral:rRNA from 1 species